rnacentral:rRNA from 1 species
AUACGGAGGGUGCAAGCGUUAUUCGGAAUCACUGGGCGUAAAGGGUGCGUAGGCGGUUUGAUAAGUCUGAUGUGAAAUCCUAUGGCUCAACCAUAGAACUGCAUUGGAAACUGUCAGACUAGAAUACUGAAGGGGCAGAUGGAAUUAGUGGUGUAGGGGUAAAAUCCGUAGAUAUCACUAGGAAUACCGAAAGCGAAAGCGAUCUGCUGGGAAGUUAUUGACGCUGAGGCACGAAAGCGUGGGGAGCAAGCGGGAUUAGAAACCCUAGUAGUCC